rnacentral:rRNA from 1 species
UACGUAGGGGGCAAGCGUUGUCCGGAUUUAUUGGGCGUAAAGAGCGUGUAGGCGGCUAGGUAGGUCCGUUGUGAAAACUCGAGGCUCAACCUCGAGACGUCGAUGGAAACCAUCUAGCUAGAGUCCGGAAGAGGAGAGUGGAAUUCCUGGUGUAGCGGUGAAAUGCGCAGAUAUCAGGAAGAACACCCGUGGCGAAGGCGGCUCUCUGGACAGUUCCUGACGCUGAGGCACGAAGGCCAGGGGAGCAAACGGG